rnacentral:ncRNA from 1 species
CAACCUCAACUCAUAUGGGACUACCCCCUGAAUUUAAGCAUAUUAAUUAGGGGAGGAAAAGAAACUAACAAGGAUUUUCUUAGUAGCGGCGAGCGAAAAGAAAACAGUUCAGCACUAAGUCACUUUGUCUAUAUGGCAAAUGUGAGAUGCAGUGUAUGGAGCGUCAAUAUUCUAGUAUGAGAAAUUAAGGAUUUAACUCCUUCUUAAAUGAGGCCAUUUACCCAUAGAGGGAAUCCACCACAGUGGCG